rnacentral:rRNA from 1 species
UACGGAGGGUGCGAGCGUUAAUCGGAAUUACUGGGCGUAAAGGGCGCGUAGGUUGUUGUUUAAGUGGGAUGUGAAAUCCCCGGGCUUAACCUGGGAACUGCAUUUCAAACUGGACAACUAGAGUGCAGUAGAGGGAAGUGGAAUUUCCGGUGUAGCGGUGAAAUGCGUAGAGAUCGGAAGGAACACCAGUGGCGAAGGCGACUUCCUGGACUGACACUGACACUGAGGCGCGAAAGCGUGGGUAGCGAACAGG